rnacentral:rRNA from 1 species
AUUGAACGCUGGCGGAAUGCUUUACACAUGCAAGUCGAACGGUAGAGGAGCAAUCCUUGAGAGUGGCGAACGGGUGAGUAAUACAUCGGAACGUGCCCAGUUGUGGGGGAUAACGUAGCGAAAGCUACGCUAAUACCGCAUACGACCUGAGGGUGAAAGCGGGGGACCUGAGAGGGCCUCGCGCGAUUGGAGCGGCCGAUGGCAGAUUAGGUAGUUGGUGGGGUAAAGGCCUACCAAGCCUGCGAUCUGUAGCUGGUCUGAGAGGACGACCAGCAACCCCGGGACUGAGACACGGCCCAGAAUGCUACGGGAUGCAGCAGUGGGGAAUUUUGGACAAUGGGCGAAAGCCUGAUCCAGCCAUACCGCGUGUGGGAAGAAGGCCUUCGGGUUGUAAACCACUUUUGUCAGGGAAGAAAUGCUCUGGGCUAAUACCCUGGGGAGAUGACGGUACCUGAAGAAUAAGCACCGGCUAACUACGUGCCAGCCGCCGCCUGUAA